rnacentral:rRNA from 1 species
UACGAAGGGUGCAAGCGUUACUCGGAAUCACUGGGCGUAAAGCGUGCGUAGGCGGUUUCUUAAGUCUGUCGUGAAAGCCCUGGGCUCAACCUGGGAAUGGCGAUGGAUACUGGGAGGCUAGAGUGUGAUAGAGGAUGGUGGAAUUCCCGGUGUAGCGGUGAAAUGCGUAGAUAUCGAGAGGAACACCAGUGGCGAAGGCGAGUCCCUGGACACUUCCUGACACUGAGGCACGAAAGCUAGGGGAGCAAACAGG